UUCAAGUGAUUCUCCUGCCUCAGCCUCCUGAGUAACUUGAGAGAGAACCAUUCUCUGCUUUCAAUAGGACAGAAGAGCUCCUUGGCACUGGACGCCCCGGGUCUGGUGAGAGAGGAAUGGUUAGGAGACUGUUCUGAGGAUACGCAGGCAUCAUCCAAAACUUCCUACAUUCAGAUGAAGAAGAGGUUGGGCCAGAGCUUUGCAUGCUUGUUACCUAAGGACGGUUCUGACCAUGUGAGCAAAUCACAGAAGGGUCCCAUGGGAACAGAAAGUUUUGAGGGAGUUUACUGUUUGUGCAAGAUGACUGGUUGGGUAAAGAAGUCCAAAGUUUUUUUAUCUGCAGAACAAAUAAAGCCUGGGCAAAGGUGAAAAAGAUUGAUCAUCAGAUGUUUCUUAUGAUUCAACUUGAUAUUUAAAUCCAUGAAGGAGUGAGAUGACAAAGCAGGUAAAUUGACAGAGAAGAGGUCCCUGGUCUGCGCCCUGCGUUGCUGGAACUGUUAGAGAUUAGGAAGAAGAGGAAGACCUGG